rnacentral:rRNA from 1 species
GAUGAACGCUGGCGGCGUGCCUAAUACAUGCAAGUCGAGCGAACAGACGAGGAGCUUGCUCCUCUGACGUUAGCGGCGGACGGGUGAGUAACACGUGGAUAACCUACCUAUAAGACUGGGAUAAAUUCGGGAAACCGGAGCUAAUACCGGAUAAUAUAUUGAACCGCAUGGUUCAAUAGUGAAAGACGGUUUUGCUGUCACUUAUAGAUGGAUCCGCGCCGCAUUAGCUAGUUGGUAAGGUAACGGCUUACCAAGGCAACGAUGCGUAGCCGACCUGAGAGAGUGAUCGGCCACACUGGAACUGAGACACGGUCCAGACUCCUACGGGAGGCAGCAGUAGGGAAUCUUCCGCAAUGGGCGAAAGCCUGACGGAGCAACGCCGCGUGAGUGAUGAAGGUCUUCGGAUCGUAAAACUCUGUUAUUAGGGAAGAACAAAUGUGUAAGUAACUAUGCACGUCUUGACGGUACCUAAUCAGAAAGCCACGGCUAACUACGUG